rnacentral:tRNA from 1 species
AGUCUUAUAUUCAAUGAUGAUUUUAAAUUGCAAAUUUAAAGGUAAAGAAAUUUUUAAGGCUU